UACGUAGGGGGCAAGCGUUGUCCGGAAUCAUUGGGCGUAAAGAGCGUGUAGGCGGCCCGAUAAGUCUGCUGUGAAAGUCGGAGGCUCAACCUUCGAAAGCCGGUGGAUACUGCGUGACUAGAGUACGGAAGAGGAGAGUGGAAUUCCUGGUGUAGCGGUGAAAUGCGCAGAUAUCAGGAGGAACACCAACGGCGAAGGCAGCUCUCUGGGACGUUACUGACGCUGAGACGCGAAAGCGUGGGGAGCAAACAGG
rnacentral:rRNA from 1 species